rnacentral:rRNA from 1 species
AUGACAUUUAGGGGAAGAGGUCAGUUCAAGAGGGCUGUUGUGAAGUAUGGUCUAGCUAUGAAGAGGCAUAUUUCCUUUGUAACAGAUGAGGCUGGCCGGAUUAGGGCAAAAUGUUCUUGGCCAAAGUGUCCAUGGUUGAUAUAUGCCGCAAAGAGGAUCUCAAAUGAAUGGUUUCAGGUCAUUACACUUGUAGACAACCAUAUAUGCCCAUAG